CUUGCUUCUUGGGUGACGAGCGGCGGACGGGUGAGUAAUGCAUAGGAAUCUGCCCGAUAGUGGGGGAUAACCUGGGGAAACCCAGGCUAAUACCGCAUACGUCCUACGGGAGAAAGGGGGCUCCGGCUCCCGCUAUGGGAUGAGCCUAUGUCGGAUUAGCUAGUUGGUGAGGUAACGGCUCACCAAGGCCACGAUCCGUAGCUGGUCUGAGAGGAUGAUCAGCCACAUCGGGACUGAGACACGGCCCGAACUCCUACGGGAGGCAGCAGUGGGGAAUAUUGGACAAUGGGCGCAAGCCUGAUCCAGCCAUGCCGCGUGUGUGAAGAAGGCCCUCGGGUUGUAAAGCACUUUCAGCGAGGAAGAACGCCUAGCGGUUAAUACCCGCUAGGAAAGACAUCACUCGCAGAAGAAGCACCGGCUAACUCCGUGCCAGCAGCCGCGGUAAUACGGAGGGUGCAAGCGUUAAUCGGAAUUACUGGGCGUAAAGCGCGCGUAGGUGGCUUGAUAAGCCGGUUGUGAAAGCCCCGGGCUCAACCUGGGAACGGCAUCCGGAACUGUCAAGCUAGAGUGCAGGAGAGGAAGGUAGAAUUCCCGGUGUAG
rnacentral:rRNA from 1 species